rnacentral:lncRNA from 1 species
GAACAUUGCAGGGUACAAAGACUAAUAAUACAACAAGUACUAAGUUUGUGGAAAUGGAUCAUGCAUCCAGCUAAAAAGAUCAUCUUCUUGUAACUCUAAAAUCCUCAGUUAAACCUUCUUCGAAAUUAAAGAGCAUUGGGGUGAACCAACCAUUGUAGCCUAACCUUUAAUAGAAACGAAAGCAGAGCCUAACCUUUAACAGAAGCGAAAGCAGGGUUUAAAAGCUUCAUGUUGGAAGAAGUGAGUUGCACCGCUUGGGUAGACAAAGCUCCCUUUCCGGAUU